AACGAACGUUAGCGGCGCGCCUAACACAUGCAAGUCGAACGCGACUGGGGGCAACUCCAGUUGAGUGGCGCACGGGUGAGUAACACGUAGGUAAUCUCCCCUCGAGUGGUGGAUAACCUUCCGAAAGGAGGGCUAAUACAGCAUAAGACCACGGCCUCGAAAGAGGCUGAGAUCAAAGCGGAGGAUCGCAAGACUUCGCGCUUGAGGAUGAGCCGGCGGCCCAUCAGGUAGUUGGCGGGGUAACAGCCCACCAAGCCUAAGACGGGUAGCUGUGAUGAGAGGAUGAUCAGCCACACUGGAACUGAGACACGGGCCAGGCUCCUACGGGAGGCAGCAGUGGGGAAUCUUGCGCAAUGGACGAAAGUCUGACGCAGCGACGCCGCGUGGGUGAUGAAGGCCUUCGGGUUGUAAAGCCCUGUGGGGAGGGACGAAUAAGUUGCAGCUAAUACCUGCCGCGAUGACGGUACCUCCUUAGCAAGCACCGGCUAACUCUGUGCCAGCCGCCGCCGUAA
rnacentral:rRNA from 1 species